UGAACGCUGGCGGCGUGCCUAACACAUGCAAGUCGAGCGAUCUUCUUCGGAAGGGAGCGGCGGACGGGUGAGUAACGCGUGGGUAACCUGCCCUGUACACACGGAUAACAUACCGAAAGGUAUGCUAAUACGGGAUAACAUAAGAAAGUCGCAUGGCUUUCUUAUCAAAGCUUUUGCGGUACAGGAUGGACCCGCGUCUGAUUAGCUAGUUGGUAAGGUAACGGCUUACCAAGGCGACGAUCAGUAGCCGACCUGAGAGGGUGAUCGGCCACAUUGGAACUGAGACACGGUCCAAACUCCUACGGGAGGCAGCAGUGGGGAAUAUUGCACAAUGGGCGAAAGCCUGAUGCAGCAACGCCGCGUGAGCGAUGAAGGCCUUCGGGUCGUAAAGCUCUGUCCUCAAGGAAGAUAAUGACGGUACUUGAGGAGGAAGCCCCGGCUAACUACGUGCCAGCAGCCGCGGUAAUACGUAGGGGGCUAGCGUUAUCCGGAAUUACUGGGCGUAAAGGGUGCGUAGGCGGUCUUUCAAGUCAGAAGUGAAAGGCUACGGCUCAACCGUAGUAAGCUUUUGAAACUGUAAGACUUGAGUGCAGGAGAGGAGAGUGGAAUUCCUAGUGUAGCGGUGAAAUGCGUAGAUAUUAGGAGGAACACCAGUUGCGAAGGCGGCUCUCUGGACUGUAACUGACGCUGAGGCACGAAAGCGUGGGGAGCA
rnacentral:rRNA from 1 species